UUUCUUUCUUGAUCUUGUUCACAAUUCUAGAAUCUUAACAUACAAUAGUUUGUAGAUAGUUACCGCUGUGUGUAAUUUGCUGUCCCUGCCCUCUUCAGUUUCAAACAUUAAAAUAUUAAAAUGAUUAUUCCAUAAAAAAAAUCAAAGUUUUCUUAAAAGGUAAUAUUGAUUUCCCCCUCCCGUACAUCAUCCUAAGGCAGGCAACCACAUGCUCGUAUACUAAAUAAAGAGACCUCGUGUGAGGUAGAAAUAGCCAAAAAGACCCCUCCCCCAAAAAAACAUACCGAAAAUCUCAUAAUAUUGUUUAAUGAACUCAUAGAAUUAUAUAAAACUUACUAUGCUUUAUGUUUAAUAUUUGUAUCAAAAUAAAAUCUCUCUGUUGAACAAAUUGCAAGUAAAGUCUGAUCUACCACUCUGGUGACUGAAACUGUAGGACCCGUGGGCUUUCUCUCGACACUCGUUCCGGAAGCUUUAGACUUACCCCUGGAUGAAUGGGCUAGAAAGUAACCACAGCGCACAAGUCUAAGUCUAGAAUCUUCUAUUGUGCACCUCCCUUACAGAAAGGUGGUUUGUUUUGUUUUUUUUUAAAGUAGGUAUUUUUCAGUAGGUUCGAAAUAUCUGAGUGUUACACUAAAACUUAAAAAAAUUGUCUGACCUGAUGUUCUAGUCUAGAGUUGAUGAUAUGAUGCCACUUUCUGAUGUUUUAUUGGGUUGCUAAACUUUAGUAAAAAAAAAAAUCCCCUCCUUCCAUGGUCUUGGAAUUGAUAAUUAAAUGGGGAUACAAAUGGCAAGUGUGAACUUAGCGGCCUCGCUGUCAAGUCACAGAGGGAAAUGAGAAGGACUGAUGCGGCGGAUGUUCUGAAGACCCAGAUGAAGGGGAGUCUGGGUACCAUGAUUCGAAGGGCAUGCUAAGUGACACUCUGAAGAAGGGAGACAAGCUGAGGCAGCAUCCGCCUUCUCUCUAACUUCUGGGCAGUCUGAAUACUGACCAGAUGACAAGUCACAUCGACCAAGACACCUGCACCCAGACGAGAGCAGACACGGAGGGCGAGCAGAAGCAGGAUUUUCAAGGGAUAGGCAAGAAAACAACAGCAUCUACUUACGGAGAGAAGACAAGUUUAGCUGUGAGGAGGUUGGGAAGUGGGUGGGAAGGGAUGGACAGCCUAGAUAAUAUUUUAAAGCAGUAAUGUGUAUGUCUUACUAUGUGGGAACUUUUAAUCAUGUUUUUAUAGAAUUUUUCUAUUAAUAAAACUCUUCACUAUGCAAUGAUUCUUUCGCUCCUGGGCAUCUCCUAAAAAAGUCAACUAGUUCAGGAACUCUAACUUUCCCAUGACAAUCAGGGGAAUACUCAGAUUUAACUAAAAUUGUCCUCAACACCGUGACUUGUCAUCACGGUGGCUGGAGAUGCAGUCUUCUACAUUUUCAGCUUUGCUCUCAAAAUGAAACAUACCAAACUUAGAGCCUUCAACUACACUACGGCAACAUUAACACAACACAUGAGCUCAAGGUUAAAAAGACAGUUAGCUUCCUCAGGACUUCAACGCCUUCAGAAAGAGGAAAACCUCUUCAAUAAAUCAACUCUAGAGACUGCUGUGUUUAAUUGGGUAAUGCUUAUUCCUCGAGACUUCCCCUUCUUUUACUUACCCUGCAGCUCUCUGGACAGGAAGGACCAGUCGAUGCUUAGAUCAAACCUGAACUCAUCCUAGAAUUUUGAUUAGAAUAAAACAAAAGAAAAAAUAACCUACAGCGGACAAUUUUGCUCUCCUCACACCAGAUGACUCAGACAGGGAGAAGUCUGUGUGAAGACAGGAAGGCUGAGAUCCUUAGUCUCAAUGAUCAAUAACUGACUACUGACCAGUCAAGGACAAGAUGUCGUGACUAGUAAUGGCAGAAGCAGGAUAGAGUGCUUUUAAAAACACACCAGAACAUAUCCAUGAUACAGGGAAUGAGGUCUGUCAAACCUCAUCAGGAAUUAAUUUUUAGGUCAAGAGGGAACUGUGGGGUAGGGGGAACAAACUUACUGAAUACUCUGAAUUAUCAUCUACAAGAACUGGAAGAGAAAGAGGAGGAAGGGAGAGAGAGGAGGAAAGAAAUACCUCGAGUUGUACAGCAAUGGCCAAAACCAGUACUGGCAAGGACAAGGAAGCACCUCAGGUAGAAAUGAACGGAUAAAUGAGAAAAAUCAAAAACAACCUCAGGAGACAGACCUAUCAAGUUUCCUUUAAAAGAACAACAGAUGUGUGCUUAUGUAUGUAAACACAUAUAUAUACACACGCACGUAGGUGCAUAUGCUCCGUCUGAACUCGAAAGUUGGAUCUGAUGAAAGGAAGAAGCUAUUUCUGUGAAGCUGACUAACCCUGCUAAUACUACCAGGGGACUGCAAGGAGCAGCGAGCGACAGCUUGCCGUGGCUCUUCUGGUAAGGUCUGCUGUAGACUGUUACAAGAUGCUGGCCAUACCUAACAGGCUCCUUAGAGCCUGGAUGGGAAGACAGGAGUAACGCUGGGUGUGGGGGAGCUGGGAGAAAAUAACGCCAAGACACAGAAAUAAACCCUCAACCUAGCUGCAGAAACAAGAAAGAGAUGGGGACGCUCUGACAUUCGCAACAGAGCGGUCAAGUAGAAAGUAGCUAGUGUCAUUU
rnacentral:lncRNA from 1 species